rnacentral:misc_RNA from 1 species
CGAUCAUUGAAUAAUGGACGAGCCUGCAUUUUUGUAAAAACAUUGCCCCACAAUUAUUACAAAAUAUAGAACAGACACCUAGAAAACAAGAAGAUUAUGAAAGGAUGGGCUACACGACAGGUUUAGUGUAUUACCCAUGUGACAAGGUUCUGCUCUCCAUGUGGACGAGUACUGUCAAUAGCUUUACGCCCAGUAAUGAGCUCUAAGAAGACAACCCCAAAACUGUAGACGUCAGAUUUCACAGUCAAUUGUCCAGUCAUGGCA